GGAGACAUCCGUUCACCAGGACUGUCCCUGGGCCUCUCGCCUCCGUGUCUCUCUGUGGCUGUGCCACCUGUGCCCACGCACCUGUUUCUUCCAUGAGGAGGAACACGGCAGCCAAGAGCUCCCGAGUCUGAUCCACGGCAGGUUCUGGCGCAGGACUCACUCUGAUCCUUGGUCUCCAAACCCGGGAACCCGUCCUUUGACCGGUGGGCAGUGGCCAGGAGAGGGCGGGUGUUAGGACUGUCUCCCCGGCUGCUGUCAGCUGACCGAUGACGCUGCGUCCCUCUGCGACCCCAACCAGCCUUUAAUCCUCCGUGGAACAUAACACGCUCCGCAGGGGCCGAAGACCGGGAUGUGGACAUCGGGAUGGGGGCCGGCCAGCAAUCCAAUCCGACUUGGUCCAGCUGCGCAGCUCCUGAGGAUGGACCUUCCAUGGGAUGAUGCCGUGGAGGGUCCUGUCCCCCGGGACCCCCAAGUCCUCUGCGGGAGAUGGACCUGUGCCAGCGCAGAGGACCCGACAGUGUCUUCAGGGACAUGGAGCGUCUCGCUAGCUGAGACCUUCCAGGUUGGUGCUCCCGACCCAGGUCUUGAGGAACGGAGAGGUCAGGUUGCACAGGAGAACAUUCCAGGCUGAGGAAACAGCACAAGCCCGGGGUAGCAGCCUGGGGGAGGCCGGCCUGGUCUGAGCACAGCGACAGGCAAGGCCCAGGGUCCAGGCCACAGAGACCGACUUUCAGUGAGGGUGAGAGUCACAGAAGGGUGGAGCGGGGCGGGCCGUGGGGUUGGCCUCAAGGGCAGUGUGGUGCCCCCAAGA